CCUACGGUGGGCAGCAGUGGGGGAUAUUGGACAAUGGGGGGAACCCUGAUCCAGCGACGCCGCGUGAGUGAAGAAGUAUUUCGGUAUGUAAAGCUCUGUCAGCAGGGAAGAAAGCAAUGACGGUACCUGACCAAGAAGCCCCGGCUAACUACGUGCCAGCAGCCGCGGUAAUACGUAGGGGGCAAGCGUUAUCCGGAAUUACUGGGGGUAAAGGGAGCGUAGACGGCUGUGCAAGUCUGGAGUGAAAGGCGGGGGCCUAACCCCCGGACUGCUCGGGAAACUGUAUGGCUGGAGUGCAGGAGGGGUAAGCGGAAUUCCUAGUGUAGCGGUGAAAUGCGUAGAUAUUAGGAGGAACACCAGUGGCGAAGGCGGCUUACUGGACUGUAACUGACGUUGAGGCUCGAAAGCGUGGGGAGCAAACAGGAUUAGAUACCCUUGUAGUC
rnacentral:rRNA from 1 species